rnacentral:rRNA from 1 species
GGUGUAGGUGGUUUUACAAGUCAGAGGUGAAAGCCCAGGGCUCAACCCUGGAAGUGCCUUUGAAACUGUAGAACUUGAAUGUGGGAGAGGGUGCUAGAAUUCCUGGUGUAGUGGUGAAAUACGUAGAGAUCAGGAGGAAUUCCGGUGGCGAAGGCGUGUGCCUGGCCCAACAUUGACACUCAGACCCGAAAGCGUGGGGAGCAAACA